rnacentral:rRNA from 1 species
GGACGAACGCUGGCGGCGUGCCUAAUACAUGCAAGUCGAACGGUCUUUCUAUGGAAGCUUGCUUCCACUGAGAAGAUAGUGGCGAACGGGUGAGUAACACGUGGGUAACCUGCCCAUAAGAGGGGGGAUAACAUCCGGAAACGGGUGCUAAUACCGCAUAGUUUUCUUGAUCGCAUGAUCGGGAAAGGAAAGACGGCCUUUGUGCUGUCGCUUAUGGAUGGACCCGCGGCGUAUUAGUUAGUUGGUGAGGUAACGGCUCACCAAGACGAUGAUACGUAGCCGACCUGAGAGGGUGAUCGGCCACAUUGGGACUGAGACACGGCCCAAACUCCUACGGGAGGCAGCAGUAGGGAAUCUUCCGCAAUGGACGAAAGUCUGACGGAGCAACGCCGCGUGAGUGAAGAAAGGUUUUCGGAUCGUAAAACUCUGUUGUCAGAGAAGAACAAGUUGGAGAGUAACUGCUCCAGCCUUGACGGUAUCUGACCAGAAAGCCACGGCUAACUACGUGCCAGCCGCCGC